rnacentral:lncRNA from 1 species
UCAAUUUUUUCUCAAUUAAAAAAACUACCCAUUCUUUUCUCUCAAUUUUUUCUUUUGUUUUUUUUUUUUCUAUUUUUUCCUCCCAAAUCUCCCUCUCAACCCCGACUUACCUUUCUCUGAUAUAGAUACGGAUCUCCAUCCCUUCUUUCUACCCUUUUCUUUACCGAUUCCCUUUUUAUCAAAUUUGAUUUUUUCACCCAUUUUUUGUUUCUUAUUCUUCUUUUUAUUUCCACUUUAUCCUUACUCUCUUUUAGUCUCCACACCUCAACUAUAAAACCCUUCUGACCCAACCCAUCACAUGUCAGCCCCCAACCUAAUCCUCAACCCCCUCCUCAAGACUCCACCUGUCAAAACAUACAGAUGUGGUCAGUCUCUAAGUUAAGAUGUGGUAAAAUGAAGAAGCCCUUUGGAGUUUUUUUUAAAUAUAUGAUAGAUGGUAUUACAAGAUAAUUUAAAAUAUACAUGACGAAAUCUUACUAUCUAUAGAUAUUAGUUAGAUAACUCAUCAAAAGAACCUGACAUAUAUGUGAUGAUUGGACAUUAACCUCGGACUCACAGCUAAAUUUGCUGACUGUAUACCAACACGAUGAAACGUUUGUUUAUAGUUUAUCCUUCUGACUCCACGGAUCUCGGCUUAGGAACUGGUAUGUUAAUGGAUAUGGAAUGUCAAUAGUUUGGAGUUGAACACUUCAAAGGGGAGAUAAGAAUGUCACAGACAAAUAAAACCAAAACGCGUGCAUCAGGCCCACAACUUUUAUGAAUCCCCCUGGUCUUUCCGCGGAGUCUGUGGGCAGCUAAAGACUAGAGUAUUCAUUUACAAGAGUUAGUGGAGAAUAUCACAAUCAAAUGACUAAAUCAUUUUUGUCACCACUUCAAUAAAUUGGCCGCUGUCUCCAUUUCUACAGGAAAAAACAUGUUCUUGAGGAUAAGAACGAGUAAAAAGGCAGACUUCCCGACAGAAAACAAAGGAAAAGAUAAGGCCCCACCACAUAUAUAAAGGCUUUCUCGAGAUAUUUGCAAGGAUACAUAGUACUGUGUCUUGGUUCAAGCAAGCGAAAGAUCAUCAGCAAAAUGGGCUCUCUAAUGUCAGGAUGGGACUCUCCUGUAUCAGAUCCUAAAUCAGGUGACUUCAGUGAAACUUUUAUCUGGUUUAUUUUAUCUGGCAAAGUGUUUCCAUGGUGUUUUGCUUUCUGCUUAACCCUGUUGUUUAAUUUCUGGUUGUGUGAAAAUAUUUCAGUAAUACGCAAAAGAAAUCGAUCACUUACCAAGGAAGAGAUUGAUGCUUACUGGAGAUCAAAGAAGAAAACGGAGGAAGAGCAUCUUAAGGCUAUAUCUAGUCCAUCGGAUAGCUGCAGCCAGCUGGUACAGUUUUGUAUAAAAGAUUUUACUACUAAUUGAAGCCUAGCCCCAUUUUUUACUCAUGUUUUUGAAAACCAGACAUGGAAAAUAUGGUACUGAACUAGUACCUUAUGAUGACAUCUAUGACAGGAAAUUCCAUUUGAGAAGUAUGGAAGACAGUAUAUGAGAUCAAGCUCCAUGCCUUUGCCCAAUACAAAACAGAGUUUCCUGGAUACGGACACAGAAACAAGCCUGGAGAAUAUCAUAAAGAAAAACGGCUGGUGAGUAGCUAAAUCUAAAUCUUAGUUGACUCGUUACUACCAGAAAGCUUUAAGUUAAGAAUUUUAGAUUAAUAUACUAACAUUCUAUAAUUUUACUGUGGACGAUUUCAGGUGGACAAGGAGCAACUGGGCAUUCCUGAAUGAACCUCCUGUUCUUGAACGCCCUACCAACAGUUACACAUCACAGUACCACAUUGCCAACCUUGCAGCUUCGAAGCUUAACACAAAUGCUGGAAUCAGUACUUAAUCUUUAGCUCCUAAUCCUAUCUUGUGUGGGCGUAUUUGUAUACCUAAUCUGUAUACUAAGAACCUUACUCUAUUAUGUGCUGGUGUGUGUGUGUGUGUUGAGUGUGUUCUAGUCUGGAGUCUGUACAAAGUAGUACUAAAUGUAGCUGUAUAUUUUCAGGGGGAUGAAUCUGUCCCUAGUCUUUUGGCCACUUGAUAUUUCCUAAGCUUUCUGUACUGUAUAGAGAUUUGUAGGACAAGGUAUUCUUCUAGUGAUGACUCGUUUCUAAAACAAGAAGAAUUAUGCGAAAUCUUGUCUGAUUUCAUUGUUUUUCACUGCAAUGUGUGGUAGUUCGUGCAUCAAUGUAUAAGUUACAAUCAAAGGAAAUAGAACAACUUACAUCUGGCAAGAAUCAGCUGUAGAUUUUCUUCUGGGAAUGAUCACUGAGAUUGGAUCUUGUUACCUGGUGGCAAUAUUUUGUGCUGGGGCUUUGUUUCUGACUGACUGAUUCAUCUAUCUCUUAAAAUUCUCUUUGUCCCAGAGUGUGGUUCCAACUUCCAUUUGUGUUGGUGUCAAUUGCUCAACAACUUGGAAACAUAAAUCAAAAAGACACUAACCAGAUUGCAUGACUCUGCUCUGCAAGGUCCAUCCUAAGCCCUUGGCUUUCUGUUUAUGUCUAACAACAAUCAACGAAUCCAUAAUUUGGUUUGUCACUUGUUAAUUCCAACAAGAACUGGAAACAAUUGUACAACAAGAACAACUAGAAAACAAAGAGAAAAAGGCUGAAAUUGUGUUGAAAUCAAACCUGUGAGGUUCUCAAUUUUUUUUUCUACUUGAAGAAACACGUCAUGUCUAUGC